rnacentral:rRNA from 1 species
AGUGAACGCUGGCGGUAGGCCUAACACAUGCCAGUCGAACGGCAGCACAGUAAGAGCUUGCCCUUACGGGUGGCGGGUGGCGGACGGGUGAGGAAUACAUCGGAAUCUACUUUUUCGUGGGGGAUAACGUAGGGAAACUUACGCUAAUACCGCAUACGACCUACGGGUGAAAGCAGGGGAUCUUCGGACCUUGCGCGAUUGAAUGAGCCGAUGUCGGAUUAGCUAGUUGGCGGGGUAAAGGCCCACCAAGGCGACGAUCCGUAGCUGGUCUGAGAGGAUGAUCAGCCACACUGGAACUGAGACACGGUCCAGACUCCUACGGGAGGCAGCAGUGGGGAAUAUUGGACAAUGGGCGCAAGCCUGAUCCAGCCAUACCGCGUGGGUGAAGAAGGCCUUCGGGUUGUAAAGCCCUUUUGUUGGGAAAGAAAAGCAGCAGGUUAAUACCCCGCUGUUCUGACGGUACCCAAAGAAUAAGCACCGGCUAACUUCGUG